UGCUUCUAACUGUCCCCUUGGGACUAAGCUUCGGCUUAUUUUGACAACUUGACCUCAAAUCGGGUAGGACUACCCGCUGAACUUAAGCAUA
rnacentral:rRNA from 1 species